GGAGAGUUUUAUUCUUGCUAAAAUUAUUUAUUUUAAUUUAAUAUUAUAUGUAAAUUUUUGUAGCGUAUAUAGAUCUUGAUGGCUAUAAUUAAUAAGGUUUAUAAUGGCAGUAAUAAUUACUAUAAUUGAAGGAGACUUUGAAUUGGUUAUUUUUAUUAAGUAUUGAUGAAAUAUGUGCCAGCAAUCGCGGUUAUACAUAAAAUGCGAGUAAAUAUUGUUGGUUAUAUAGUUAGUUAGAUUUAGAUUUAAUUUAUUAUAUCUGUUCUUGGGUGAAAUCAGGAUUAUUUUUUAUGUUAAUUGAUAAGUAAGUGAAGCUAGGAGAUUUUAUUAGUUAGACUAGGAUUAGAUACCCUAUUAUUUAUUGAUUUAAAAAUUUUAAACUGGAGUAGUAUUAGUUAAGGGCUUGAAACUUAAAGAAUUUGGCGGUUUUUUAGUCUAUUUAGAGGAAUUUGUUCCAUUAUCGAUAAUCCGCGUUGGACCUUACUUAAUUUAAUUUAAUUUGUAUAUCGCUGUUUAUUGAAAAUCUUUAUAGAGUAUAUUAGUUGAAAAAAUUUCUAAAUAUUUAAUUUAAUAAUAUUUCAGGUCAAGGUGCAGUUUAUAGUUAAGUGGAAAUGGAUUACAAUAUUUAUGAGAUAUAUGGAUUAUAGAUUGAAAUAUUUAUAUGAAGGUGGAUUUAAUAGUAAUUUUAUUGAGAUAGAUAAUUUGAUUGGGGCUCUAAAAUGUGCACACAUCGCCCGUCACUCUCGUUAAUAAGGUGAGAUAAGUCGUAACAAAGUAGGUGUACUGGAAGGUGUAGCUAGAUUGAA
rnacentral:ncRNA from 1 species